rnacentral:rRNA from 1 species
GGGGCUGCGGGUGCUUACCAUGCAGUCGAACGAUGAUGCCCAGCUUGCUGGGUGGAUUAGUGGCGAACGGGUGAGUAACACGUGAGUAACCUGCCCCUGACUCUGGGAUAAGCGUUGGAAACGACGUCUAAUACUGGAUAUGAUCACUGGCCGCAUGGUCUGGUGGUGGAAAGAUUUUUUGGUUGGGGAUGGACUCGCGGCCUAUCAGCUUGUUGGUGAGGUAAUGGCUCACCAAGGCGACGACGGGUAGCCGGCCUGAGAGGGUGACCGGCCACACUGGGACUGAGACACGGCCCAGACUCCUACGGGAGGCAGCAGUGGGGAAUAUUGCACAAUGGGCGAAAGCCUGAUGCAGCAACGCCGCGUGAGGGAUGACGGCCUUCGGGUUGUAAACCUCUUUUAGUAGGGAAGAAGCGAAAGUGACGGUACCUGCAGAAAAAGCACCGGCUAACUACGUGCCAGCAGCCGCGGUAAUACGUAGGGUGCAAGCGUUGUCCGGAAUUAUUGGGCGUAAAGAGCUCGUAGGCGGUUUGUCGCGUCUGCUGUGAAAUCCCGAGGCUCAACCUCGGGCUUGCAGUGGGUACGGGCAGACUAGAGUGCGGUAGGGGAGAUUGGAAUUCCUGGUGUAGCGGUGGAAUGCGCAGAUAUCAGGAGGAACACCGAUGGCGAAGGCAGAUCUCUGGGCCGUAACUGACGCUGAGGAGCGAAAGCAUGGGGAGCGAACAGGAUUAGAUACCCUGGUAGUCCAUGCCGUAAACGUUGGGCGCUAGAUGUAGGGACCUUUCCACGGUUUCUGUGUCGUAGCUAACGCAUUAAGCGCCCCGCCUGGGGAGUACGGCCGCAAGGCUAAAACUCAAAGGAAUUGACGGGGGCCCGCACAAGCGGCGGAGCAUGCGGAUUAAUUCGAUGCAACGCGAAGAACCUUACCAAGGCUUGACAUACACCGGAAACGGCCAGAGAUGGUCGCCCCCUUGUGGUCGGUGUACAGGUGGUGCAUGGUUGUCGUCAGCUCGUGUCGUGAGAUGUUGGGUUAAGUCCCGCAACGAGCGCAACCCUCGUUCUAUGUUGCCAGCGGGUUAUGCCGGGGACUCAUAGGAGACUGCCGGGGUCAACUCGGAGGAAGGUGGGGAUGACGUCAAAUCAUCAUGCCCCUUAUGUCUUGGGCUUCACGCAUGCUACAAUGGCCGGUACAAAGGGCUGCGAUACCGUAAGGUGGAGCGAAUCCCAAAAAGCCGGUCUCAGUUCGGAUUGAGGUCUGCAACUCGACCUCAUGAAGUCGGAGUCGCUAGUAAUCGCAGAUCAGCAACGCUGCGGUGAAUACGUUCCCGGGCCUUGUACACACCGCCCGUCAAGUCAUGAAAGUCGGUAACACCCGAAGCCGGUGGCCUAACCCUUGUGGAAGGAGCCGUCGAAGGUGAUACGAUUCCUA